rnacentral:lncRNA from 10 species
AGCUCCCUCUUUGCCCACUAGCAGGGCAUUAGCUGGUGCUGAAGACAGUGGCUGCUUGGCGAGCCUGGAUCUCCAAGUGACCCCCUCAGCAACUCCUGAUGAACAGGUACUGUGUGCAGAAAUGUGAUUGAGAUUCAAGUCAGGGCCUCUCUGCCCUUUUCCCUCCAGAAACAAAACCAAGAUAAUUUAUCCUGAACACGGUGAAAAAAGGAAGGGAGGGAGGAGAAAAAGUCCGGGUCUCACCUGGGAUUCUCUGUCUCCUGCAACAUGAAGGAUUUAGCCUGGGAGGAGGUGGUGAGAACUCUGGGAGAGAAAAAAGAAGGAAAGAAUAGUUUUACCCAUGCUGAAGUUAAUUUAAACCUUCACCUAGAG